GACGUAGGUGGCGAACGUUAUCCGGAAUUACUGGGCGUAAAGGGUGUGCAGGCGGGCGGUCAAGUGGUGUAUGAAAUAUCCUGGCUCAACCAGGAGAGGUUAUGCCAGACUGACCGUCUUGAGUGCGAGAGAGGGGCGUGGAAUUCCGGGUGUAGUGGUGAAAUGCGUAGAGAUCCGGAGGAACCCCAGAGGCGAAGGCGGCGCCCUGGCUCGCAACUGACGCUCAUACACGACGGCAUGGGGAGCGAACGGG
rnacentral:rRNA from 1 species